ensembl:lncRNA
UGUAAACGUAUAGAGAUUUUUUUUUAAAGUUUUACAAGGUUUAGGUUACAUAUAGUGUGUAUAUAAUCAGACUGCAUUCAUUCAUUUAAACUGACAUCUCCUUCUCUUCUUCUUGUUACCAGAUUUCUUUAUUCAAAGAUGCUGCUACAAGUCAUGGAAGUGCUGUGCUGAAUGAAUUUUCAGUGCUUGGUGUGUUGGCUCGGGUCCAGUGAGGUAGAACAUUAGUCUGACUGGGGGGAGGGCUGGCUUGGAAAUGUGCUGUUUCUGGAGCUUAUCCAUUUUGGCCUGUCAAUACUUCACCUUUUCUCAGAGAUAAUUAUAACUCUUCUUUGUAGAUAUAGGAUUUUGAAUAGGUAAUUAAAUGAAAUGCUUUGCGUUUAUUGAUUUAUCUGCUCAGGUAAAUCCCACAAGAUUAUGACCGAUGUCUUGUUCAGUGACUCCAUGGAACAAUCUGUCCUCCAAAAAAGGUUUGCAUUUGCGGAAUGAUCAGUUUUAAUGGGACAUUGGGACAUGGUGAAGAUUUACAAAGCAUUUACACAAAUAAUUAGCAAAACAGGUUCGCCUUAUGGAUACAUAAAAAGCAUCAAACUUUGUAAAUAUUACGAAGGGCCAUGUUCAAAUCUGCAUAUGGAUCAAAAUAGCAUCUCUCCUCAACUUUUCUUCUCUGACUUUCCCACUCAAGAAUGCACACAACUGCGGCGGCAAGGAAAAUGGAAGAAGUCCAUUAGAUCAUCUGACCCUAAGAAAUAGUUCGGCAUCUAUGCCUACAAGCCGACAUCAAACUAUUGAUCUUAAUAAGCUAAAGAGAAAUAUUCACUAGAUUCAAAUGCAAAUUCAAAAAACUUUUUAAUGCUCAUGGGCAGGGUUUAAAUAAAAUGCAAAUUUUAGCCACACCAUACUAUUGUAAGAAACCUAUAUAUAUAUAGGUAUCUAUAUAUAUAUAUAUAUAUAGGUGUGUGUGAGCAGAAUGUGAAAUAAUAAUCAGUGGUCAGAUUUCCCAUGUUCAAGAAAUUAAACAAAUCACAAGGGUUGACGCAGUGAAUUUCAUUCUCACAAUCUCAAGAACAACAUUUUUAUAACGAGAAUGAAUAGUGGCUUGGAAAGUAUACCAUGAAAUGGCAUCUAGCACUGUUCUUCUGCAUCAGCAGAUAACAAGAUACAACGGCAAAGCUAAAAAUGAAAUGUCCCGACAGCCAAAAUGAGCUAGCUUUUCGAUAAGAAAGAUUUCUAAAAAUCCAUGAAUUGACUGAAUCAUCAGUCAUAAUAACAUCUAAAUGUUAAUACAUAGCCACUGUGUACAGGGUGAUACAUCACUUUUACUGCAGACCUGCAAUAGAGAUGUUACAUCAGAUGUGACGCGCUGGAAGCAUCACCGCCGCUCAGAC